CAGCUGAUUCCUGUUUGCUGUGCCAUUGAGUGACCAUUUUAGCUCACAGCAGGAAGAGGCCGGAGCUGUUAGAUUUCUCUUGAGACAGCCUCUCCGUCAAGAAAUGUAUGGAAUAGCAGUGACACUCUGUGAAUUGUAACUAGGAAAAGCCCAUUAAGGAAAAGCAGAGUUUC